UACACACACACACACACACACACACACACACACACACACAAAAUGCAUGGAAUCUUACUCUGAUCCUGCACCAACAAAACUGAUGAAGAACACAAACAUACAAUAAGAAAUUAGUCCUUUUUUUUUCAAUAUUCUUGUGAAUAAAAUGAUAGACCAUAUAUCGGAGUCAUAUAUGAGUCCAGUACGAAUAAAAUAGAAGAACAUAAGCAGUAAGAUCGAGUUUAGGCAUCUAUUGCUCCUACAAUGAAAUUGAUAGACUACAAAAUGAGUUGUUGUUUUUUUUUUGCAACUCAUGCACUGAAAAACAAAAAACAGAGAGAAUAAGUAAUUUAGUAGUACGAUUUUAAUCUUGUUUGUGUGCCUGAUAAGGAAAAAAUAGAUUUGAGCGCCAAUAGAGAGUCCUAUUCCUUACAUGUUCCUGCACUACCGAAAUAGAACAUAAGCAGCAAAAACUUCACUCUUGUUUUAUAUUAAUUCUUGAACAAAUUGAGUGAAAUAUAUGUAGGAGUGUUAUAAUGUUACUGUGGUCCUGCACCGAGAAAUUAAAUGAACUUGAAAGCUUUUGUCGCGCGCGUCUCUUAUGUUCUAACUAAUCACUGGACAAUUAGUCAUAUUUUUUUAACUUUUGAAAGCAAUUGAUAUACUAGCAACAUAUGUUAUAUUAUUCAUUACAUUGCUUGUUUUACAAGACCAAUCCGUCCUGUGAGAAUAACAUCAUGUAUUAAUCACAGGGCGCAAUUAAUUAGCGCUAUAUUAAUUCCCUAAUUAUGUGUCCAAACCGUAAAGUAUAAGGGUAAAAAAAUAUAAAAAAUUCCUAAUGGAGGAUGCUAAUUAAAGACGAACCUGACUGCCGCUGUAUUCUUCAGAAAAUCGAAUCCUGAAACAAAUUAGAUAACCUUGUUAAUUAAGAUCGAACGAGAUGUAGCUCAUUAAAAUCGAAAUGAAUUGCGUUAAUCGCAGAGAGUAGCAGGGGCGAGAUGAAGGAUGGUAAAGUAAACAUACAAUUUCGUCAUCGUCACUCCGCAACUGCCUGGUAAAUCCACACGUCAGGGACUAUGUUGCACAGAUACGGAUACGGGGAUACGGAUACGACACGAUACGGAUACGGUGAUACGGCAAUUUCUAAAACUUCUAGGAUACGAUACGCGGGAUAUACUUAAAUAAAAUAUUAUUUUAAAUAUAUUUAAAUGUAUGUUGAUUAUAUGUAAUGAUAUAUUGAGAACAAUUAGAAUAUCUAGACUAUAUUAAGGAAUAUAUUCUAAUAUGCAUUAACUUGUAUAAUUAUUUUACAUAUGUUCAAAAAAAAGACAAUCAAUCAUAUAAAAUAAUAAUUCAAAAAGUAUCAAACCAACUAUCAUUCAACUUGAUCAAAUGAUAACAAUAAAUAUAUAGUCGCACAAACUAGAUAAUUAGCCAUUCAAUAUAUAUGUCUGAUUUGUUAGUUCUAUUAUUAAAAUAGUAAUAAAAAAAUAUGCUAACAAUUUAAUAGAGAAGGGAAAAAAAAAUCAUAUUUUCUAUAGCCUUUGUUGCUUAAUACUAGGUUGACAAAUUAGAUGGAAGAGAGUAAAUACUGUGUGAAGAUAGAACAAGAGGGAGCGCCUUCUACCAUUCAAGAACAAAAAAAUAGAUGAAAUGACAAAUUGAACAGAUAUUGGUGUUUUUCUCACUCUUUUCCUUCUUUCCAAUAGGUUUGGACGUGAGCUUUUAAAAAAUUUUAAGUUUCAAUCAUUUUAGACCAAAAAAGAACCGGGCCGUGUCCCCCCCGUAUCCCCCCGUAUCCCUCACGUAUCCGAGCCGUAUCCGAUAUUUUUUUAUUUUUUAAAAAUGCCAGAUACUUCAUUCCCGUAUCGGACACGUAUCGGGCGCGUAUCGGGCGCGUAUCGGUAUCCGACCCGUAUCCGAUACAGAUACGGCAUGAAAUUUGAAGUAUCCGUGCUUCAUAGAACGAGAGGGAGCGCCUUCUACCAUUCAAGAACAAAAAAAUAGGUGAAAUGACAAAUUGAACAGAUAUUGGUGUUUUUCUCACUCUUUUCCUUCUUUCCAAUAGGUUUGGACGUGAGCUUUUAAAAAAAUUUUAAGUUUCAAUCAUUUUAGACCAAAAAAGAACCGGGCCGUGUCCCCCCCGUAUCCCCCCGUAUCCCUCACGUAUCCGA
rnacentral:lncRNA from 1 species